ensembl:lncRNA
CCUGAGCUGGUUUUUUAAAGCCAGUGUGGAUCAGGAGUUCAUGGGAAGAGACGGAGAGAGCAGGAGAGAAACCUAGAGGUAUUAGCCCUGAAGGCCUGAUCAAAGGCCUGAUCAGAAUGAAGGGAAGGGAAGGGAAGGCGCAGGAGGGCUGAGAAAACUCUGGGGCCCGUGAGUCAUGGGCCAGGCAGCUGGGGCUGGGGCGUGGCCAGAACCCAGCUGAAACCACCCUCAGAAAUCUGACCCCCCCCCUCUGACCAGCAUCCCAUCCUGGGCCAGACAGAGCUCUGGGGUGGCCGCACGAGGCCCCCUGUGGAGAAAGCAAACCAUGGCACCCCUUACCUAGAGCUUCCAUUCCAUUCAUUUGUUCUCUCCUUCCUUCCUUCCUUCCUAAAACAUUCUCUGCCCUCUCCGUGUGCAGGUGCCUGCCCUCGGUUAAGAGCUGAGUUUAAUGGGGAAGAGAGAUAAGAGAACAGUGCUGCCGCAGGACGUGCGUGCUGGCAGGCCUGGAGAGGAAGACCCAAGAAAGAGUGUCCACCAAGCUGGAGCCCAAUGGAUGAGCAGGCGUCAGCCAGUGAAGGUGCUGUACCGAGAGCAUUCCCCGGCGCUUGCUCUUAGCUAGGCCCAGCUGAACGCAGCUCGCGGUGUGUGGGAAGACGGAGGAUGAGAUUCCCAGCCGCAGGAUCAAAUCAGCAAGGGCCUCUUGGGCUGGGUGGAGAGGGUGGGACUUUUUCCCUGAGGGCAAUGGCCAGCCGGAGAAUUCCCAGGCCCUGGUAGAAUUCCAGAGCCUAGGGAAGGAGAGCACACGGAGUCCAGCUUCCCGUUCUCGCAGAAGUGGAGACUGGAGCCCAGAGAGGCUGUGAGAGCUGGCAGGCCCACACAGCGGGCUCGUGGCAGAGCCCAGGUGUCCUGACUUGGACAGCAGGGUUCCCCCACCGCGCCCACUGCCUCUAUUAUCUGCUAAGACCUACUUUUAGACCCAGGCAGGCACCUGCAAACAUCCCAACACCUCCACACGGCGGCGGAGGACAAAGAACGUGGGCCGACCGGGGUCAGUGUCUUGAACAGGCUGACCCAGCGGGACGAUCCCGGGGUGGGGGGCGGGGAGGCAGGCAGGCUUCCGGCAGGGGUGAGAGUUGACUUGCCCCAGAUGGGUGAAGUGAGUCACUGGGAGCCAUGUUCACACUUCCUCCUUUCUCUGGGCUUUGAUCCAGCUCCCUGGAGGGAGGCACAGCCCAGAUUCCCGGGGCAGCCAUCCUCCUCCUCUCUCCAGACUGGGGUGCCGGCUGUCUGCACCCCCCAACUCCUCCACACAUCCUUUCUGAGGCCCUGGUAAUCCUAAAAGGCCCGGUGCUGGGUAACAGCAGGAACUAGGCUGGAAGUCUAAUUAAGCAUUCCGUAUUACAACGCUUAAAGACACUCACGGGAUCCCGGUGAGCUCCAAACGCCUAAUUCCUAAAUUUAAUCUUCAACUACUCCGCUGAAUCCUCUUGGAUGACUAUAGCUAAUUAUCUAAUAGCGAAUCACCAGUGAUCAUGACUUCUUCUUGCAGAUAUUCUGUGAGAAUCACAGAGAAGGGCUUCUCCUAGGAAUGAAACCUUAGUGUGGGAUGCCUGGCUGGCUCAAGGCGAUAGAGGGUGACGCUCUUGAUCUUGGGGUCAUGAGUUCAAGCCCCAUGUUGGGGGUAGAGGUUACUUAAAAAAUGCAUAUUAAAAACCAACCAACCAUAGCAUAUAGGAAAUUGCUUUCAAACUCCAGGAAUCAAGUAUAUUAUCUAUUGUAAUCCUGGUAAGAAAACAGAAAUGCACUAGAUGGGGAUUUUUUUUUCUUAGUUAUUCUUAUCAGCUAGAGCUUUGGUCCAGACCAGUUCUACAAUAUGUGUGAAGAUCAUAUAGAUUUAUCAUGAAAAUAGGUCAGUGUAUUGGGGUAUGUUAAGAAAUUCUCAGCAGAGACAUCAACAAACUUGAAACUUUAUUGUUACCUAGAAAAGUAAAUCCACAUCUCUAAUUUGUAUUUGCUUUGGAAAUUAUAAUCUACCAAAAACCAAGGCAAAGCAAAGAAAGAAAGGAAGAAAAGGAAGGGUAAUACAAUACUUAUGAUGUGCUCAGUAUUAUAAAUGUAACUUGGAACUUUGUGACACUCACAUCCAGCUGGCUGACUUAGAUGGUUUCGGGUCUUUUUUGGUCUUUUUAUUCUUUCUCACUUCUGUGACAUUACAUGGGUUAAUAGGUAAAAGUUGACAAACAAACCAGUUGACAGACAUUUUAGGUUUUGCUCUAUCCCUCUAAGAAAAAAAAAGCCUAUGGGGUGCCUGGGUGGCUCAGUUGGUGAGCGUUCGGCUCUUUUUUUUAUUUUUUUUUAAUGUUUAUUUAUUUUUAUGAGAGAGAGACAGAUAGAAGGCAGGGGAGGGGCAGAGAGAGAGGGAGACACAGAAUCCAAAGCAGGCUCUAGGCUCUGAGCUGUCAGCACAGGGCCUGACAUGGGGCUUGAACUCAUCAACCGCGAGAUCAUGACCUGAGCUGAAGCUGGACACUUAACCACCCCAAGCAUCCACCUCUUGAUCUCAGCUCAGGUCAUGAUCUCACAGGUUGGUGAGUGAGCCCCGCAUUGGGCUACAUGUGGCCAGUGCGGAGCCUGCUUGGGAUUCUCUCUCUCCCUCUUUCUGUCCCUGCCCUGCUCACGUAUGCUCCCUCUCAGAGUAAAGAAAUCAACUUUAAAAAAUUUUAAAAAGCAAAAGAAAAGAAGUCUAAGUAACAAUAACCGUCUUUCCACAUUUACAUAAAACUUCUCAUUUAAGGAGUCAGAAAACCCAGUGGACUUUAUCCUAACUCUCCUGGACAUAAUAAACACUUUGGAUUUGAAUCACAUUUCCCAGACUACAAAGCACUUUUACGCCCAUUCUUUGUUUUACUGGAUCUUCAAAACAACCCUGUUUUGAAAUUAACUCAGUGAAUGUUUAUUGAACAACUACUGUUUGCCAGACAUUAGUUUAGUUUAGUGGCAAAGUCAUACAAAGAUCCUGCCAGAAACGUUUAAGAGACAGGCCCAAGGACGCGGGAAAGAAAUCAAAGCCUCCUGACGGGUGUGCUGUAUCACUCUUCUCCUGUGCAGUCGGGGUAAACGAAGCAGAGAUCACUUCCUGGUCCUGACACCCUCUCUUAGCGUACUAGCAGCAUUUCUUGUUCCGGCUUGUUCAACCACAUCUGCUUACCAGCAUUUACACGGUGUGUUCCAGCUUUUGGUCUCUCACUGGAGGAACUAUUUCUCUAUCUAUCGGUUUAUUACUUUUGGACAGGAAGGAAGAUUUACUGAUAGGGCUGAAUGAGGAGGGGCCAUUGCCAAGGUGCCCCAGAGGGCAGGGCACGCCAUCUGUUCAGAGGGCCACCAGUGGGGAUGUGUUUGACCUUAUAGCCACCUGGGGGGCUUUUCAGCCACUGUGUCUUUAAAUCUGUCCACAUUAAACUCAGUAAAAUGCCACUUAUUUAUUUUUUUUUUUCUUUACAGAGAAAUAAAGAGAAAGAGCAUGAGCUGGGGAGGGACAGAGAGAGAGAGACACACAGAAUCCGAAGGGUCCUCCAGGCUCCGAGCUGUCAGCACAGAGCCCGACACAGGACUUGAACUCAUAAUCCGUGAGAUCAUGACCUGGGCUGAAGUCGGAUGUUCAACCGACUGAGCCACCCAGGUGCCCCAAAUCCCACUUCUUGAAGAUGUGGAUCUGCCAGCAGUCAGGGAACUUGAACUUGGCCCUGCUUAGAGCUUGAUUCACAUGCUCCUUGUUUUGCAGCUUGGUACGGAUGGACAUGAGGACUUGGCCAGUGUGGACCCUGGUCACUGUACCCUGAGGUUUUCCAAAGGUAGCUAGCUGCAUACCUGUGUGGAGCCUAGAUUGGAGACAGUAUGAGGUCAGAAACGAAUGGCCACUGUUUCCAAAGUCCCUUAAGGGAAAUCAUACAAACAACAGGCUGUAUACACUACCCAAGAGGCUACUGUUCGCAGCCAUGGCACACUGGCCCCCAAGGGGAAAGUGUAUGUUCCGUUUAAUUGGCUGAGUCAGAUGAACCAUUUUAUAUUCCUGUCCAAAGCCAGUUCCUGUCUGCACGCAGUCCUUCUCCCUUACUUAAGAACCCGGAUCCGGUCAAACUCUCCUGCCCACAUCACUUAUCUACUGUAUAAGCAGUGCUAUAAAAGAGUCUGGUAAUUUCUUCCAUCUUAAAAACAAGCAAACUUCUCUAGAUCCCAUUCUCCCCAGCCACUCACCCCUCACCAGCUACCAUUCCAUUUUCCUGGUCUCAUUUUACACCCAACUUUUCCCAUUCUCUGAUUUAAAUGCCAAUUAAAUAUUUAUUGAACAAAGGCAAGGACAGUUCACACAAAGAAUAAGGAAAUUCAAAUAUUCAAAGGACUUGUUAUUAAAAAACAAACCCAACACUGGUUCUGUUUUUCUCUAAAAGACAGAACUGUAAUCAAUGGUUAGAAACCUCCAGCAUGGGGGCACCUGAGUGGCUCACUCCAAUAAGCAUUUGACUCUUGGUUUCAGCUCAGGUCCUGAUCUCAUGGUUCCCGAGUCUGAGCCCUGCAUGGAGCUCUGCGCUGACAGUGUGGAUCCUGCUUGGGAUUCCCUCCCUCUCUGUUCCUCUCUUGCUUGUGCUCUCUUUCUCUCUCUCUCAAAGUAAAUAAACUUAAAAAAAAAAAAAAAAGGUUUAUUAAAAAAAAAACCCAAGGGCGCCUGGGUGCCUCAGUCGGUUAAGUCUCUGACUUCAGCUUAGGUCAUGAUCGCAUGUUCGUGGGUUCGAGCCCCGUGUUGGGCUCUGUGCUGAAUGUUUGCUCAGAGCCUGGAGCCUGCUUCUGAUUCUGGUCUCCCUCUCUCUCUCCCCCUCCCUGCUCAUGCUCUGUCUCUCUCUGUCUCAAAAAUAAAUAAAAUAAAUUAAAAAAC